rnacentral:rRNA from 1 species
AUACGGAGGGUGCAAGCGUUGUUCGGAAUUACUGGGCGUAAAGCGCGCGUAGGCGGUUUGUUAUGUCAGAUGUGAAAGUCCACGGCUCAACCGUGGAAGUGCAUUUGAAACUGGCAAACUCGAGUACUGGAGGGGGUGGUGGAAUUCCCGGUGUAGAGGUGAAAUUCGUAGAUAUCGGGAGGAAUACCGGUGGCGAAGGCGACCACCUGGCCAGAUACUGACGCUGAGGUGCGAAAGCGUGGGGAGCAAACAGGAUUAGAAACCCCAGUAGUCC